rnacentral:rRNA from 1 species
UACGGAAGGCAGCAGUGGGGAAUAUUGCACAAUGGGCGAAAGCCUGAUGCAGCUAUGCCGCGUGUAUGAAGAAGGCCUUAGGGUUGUAAAGUACUUUCAUCGGGGAGGAAAAACAAAACUAAUAAUUUUAUUUCUUGACGUUACCCGAAAAAGAAGCACCGGCUAACUCCGUGCCAGCAGCCGCGGUAAUACGGAGGGUGCUAGCGUUAAUCAGAAUUACUGGGCGUAAAGAGCACGUAGGUGGUUUUUUUAAGUCAGAUGUGAAAUCCCUGGGCUUAACCUAGGAACUGCAUUUUGAAACUGAAAUACUAGAGUAUCGUAGAGGGAGGUAGAAUUCUAGGUGUAGCGGUGAAAUGCGUAGAUAUCUGGAGGAAUACCUGUGGCGAAAGCGGCCUCCUAAACGAAUACUGACACUGAGGUGCGAAAGCGUGGGGAGCAAACAGGGAUUAAGAUACC